rnacentral:sRNA from 2 species
CGAUGUCAGGCCAACUCCUCCUCCUCCCAAAGUUGGCCUGCAGGAACGACAGCAACUCCUCCUCCCAUGCUGUUGUUCGGUUCUUUUCGGAAAGCCUGCCGCACCUCCUCCCGCGGCAGGCUUUUUCG